GACGUAGGGCGCGAGCGUUGUCCGGAUUUAUUGGGCGUAAAGAGCUCGUAGGCGGCUUGUUGCGUCAGCUGUGAAAACCCGCAGCUCAACUGUGGGCUUGCGGUCGAUACGGGCAUCACUGGAGUUCGGCAGGGGAGACUGGAAUUCCUGGUGUAGCGGUGAAAUGCGCAGAUAUCAGGAAGAACACCCGUGGCGAAGGCGGCUCUCUGGGACGGUACUGACGCUGAGACGCGAAAGCGUGGGGAGCGAACAGG
rnacentral:rRNA from 1 species